GACGAACGCUGGCGGCGUGCUUAACACAUGCAAGUCGAACGGAAAGGCCCUGCUUUUGUGGGGUGCUCGAGUGGCGAACGGGUGAGUAACACGUGAGUAACCUGCCCUUGACUUUGGGAUAACUUCAGGAAACUGGGGCUAAUACCGGAUAGGAGCUCCUGCUGCAUGGUGGGGGUUGGAGAGUUUCGGCGGUUGGGGAUGGACUCGCGGCUUAUCAGCUUGUUGGUGGGGUAGUGGCUUACCAAGGCUUUGACGGGUAGCCGGCCUGAGAGGGUGACCGGCCACAUUGGGACUGAGAUACGGCCCAGACUCCUACGGGAGGCAGCAGUGGGGAAUAUUGCACAAUGGGCGGAAGCCUGAUGCAGCAACGCCGCGUGCGGGAUGACGGCCUUCGGGUUGUAAACCGCUUUCGCCUGUGACGAAGCGUGAGUGACGGUAAUGGGUAAAGAAGCACCAGCUAACUACGUG
rnacentral:rRNA from 1 species